UUACUUGACAAUUGGCAUUUUGAUCUUGGAUGUGUUGUCUCUCCACUUCCUUGGCUGGAUAAUGAGAAACUUCAUUCACUAUUGGAGAAAAAAAAGGGAAUCUAGUGUGGCAGAGUAGAAUCUGUUCAAAAAGGGCUACCUUAUUAUCUAUUGAGAAUUUCAAGAUCUUUUUCUACCUUAUUGUGAAGGCUGAUGGUUCUUCUAGUGAAUGUUGUUUUUGUGUAUAGGGAUUCCAUAAGAAGUUAGAAAAAGUUCGACUUGAUGAUAUAUUUCCUGAUAUUUUCACUUUGUUUAGUGCAAAGUAAAAUAUUAGCAUUCAGGGUCUAUGUAUUGCAAAUGAUAGCAAUAAAACACCAUCUUACAGUUGAUUUUAUGAUAGUGUUCUUUUUCCCUCUG
rnacentral:misc_RNA from 1 species